UGGAGAGAGAGUCUGUGAAUAAGACCAUUAUUUCCAGCCAGGACUCUCCCAAGACAACUAUUCUAACAGCAAUUUCAUCUUUACAAGGAGAUUUCAUGCCCUCUUCAUACACCACCAUUCAUGAAGACCAAAGGGGAGAAGAGCUCAUGCCUGAAAAAGAAGCAACAUCAAGAACAAACCAAGGAAACGUCAGGCACAACAACGAAUGAGAGUGACCACUCAUGCAUACCAAAAAGCCCUGCAGAAGAAACCUAGAUGGGAGAGACUGAUGUGUUACGUACAGACAGAAGACUGUGUAGGACAUCCGCCAUAAAUGAG